GGCCCAAUGGUCUAGUAGUAUGAUACGUCCUUCGGGCUUUGCUGCCUCCUUAACUUCAUGGGGAUAGUUGGACGGGGUCCCGGGUUCAAUUCCCGGUUGGGCCC